ACGUAGGACGCAAGCGUUAUCCGGAAUUACUGGGCGUAAAGGGCGUGUAGGCGGCACGGUAAGUCAACCGUGAAAGCUCCCAGGCUUAACCGGGAGAGGACGUGCGAGACUGUCGGACUAGAGGCAGGUAGAGGCAAGUGGAAUUCCGGGUGUAGUGGUGAAAUGCGUAGAGAUCCGGAGGAACCCCGGUGGCGAAGGCGACUUGCUGGGCCUGAACUGACGCUCAGACGCGAAAGCAUGGGGAGCGAACGG
rnacentral:rRNA from 1 species